rnacentral:misc_RNA from 1 species
CGAGAAUCCUACUCAUUAUGUUAUUUGGAAUAUGAAUUUGAACACACAUAUAUACCCAGUGUGUGUUGUGAGCUUCAGAAUUCCUCCAGGAGCUGAAGGACCCCGCGUUGGAAAUGAUAGUCGGAUUGAUGUCUCAGGUGUCAAUACUUGUCCUCGGGGCCCUGUGGAACAGGGAAGUCAUCGUUUUCAAGUAUCACUAGUUAAGUUGGCCCUGGAAGAGGCUGCGAGGAUUCCAAAGUCCAGUGGGGUGCCAUUCUCCUUGUUGAUUGAUGCAAUCUCCAAUGUAGUAAAUGCCGAGAAAAUGAACCAUGUUACUAGAAGUUAUGAGUUGCUUGGGUUCAAGAAGAUAUGUAGGGAUGAAUUUGAGAAACGGUUGGUUGCAAUCGUAGGCCUUACUCUGUUGAAGUCCACAACGAAAAGUUUGCUGUGCAAGAUACAAUCAAAACCCAUUGAAAUGGUUCAGCCAAAGCAAGAGCCACAAAGUGCUGACUUCAAAGGAAAUACUGCCCUAUUCCAUUGGAUAGAGCCACAGACCGAGUAACUGUGUUUAUGUGGAACACCUUCUCUCUGUUGUAGUGAGAUCGUUUAGAUGGUUGGAUUUCCUUUUCUACUGGAAUGUGAUAGUAGCAUCUGUUCUUUUGUCCUAGAAUAUGGAUUCGUGAAGUAGUUAGUUUCUUUUAUUUGAACUGGUUAAAAACAGUUUAGUUUCAG